UUGUGAUAGUGAGUGAGUUCUCAUGAGAUCUGGUUGUUUGGAAGUGUGUAGCACCUCCCCCUUUGCUCUCACUUCCUCCUGCUCCAGCUGUGUAAGUCCUGCCUGCUUCAUUUCACCUUCUGCCUUAAUUGUAAGUUUCCUGAGGCCUUCCCAGCCAUGCUUCCUGUACAGCCUGUGGAAUUGUGAGUCAAUUAAACCUCUUUUCUUUAUAAAUUACCCAGUCUCAGGUAGUUCUUUUUUUUUUUUUUUGAGACAGGGUCUUGCUCUGUCUCCCAGGCUGGAGUACGGUGGUGCAAUCUCAGCUCACCACAGCCUUGACCUCCUGGGCUCAAGCAAUCGUCCCAUCUUAGUCUCCCGAGUAGCUGUGACUACAGGCAUGCACCACCACACCCAGCUAAUUUUUAUAGAGACAGGGUUUCACCUUGUUGCCCAGGCUGGUCUCAAACUCCUGAGCUCAAGGGAUCUGCCCACCGUGGCCUUCCAAAGUACUGGGAUUACAGGUGUGAGCUACCGUGCCUGGCCUCAGGUAGUUCUUUAUAGCAGUGUGAAAACAAACUAAUACAGACUUGUUUCCAGUUUGGAACAUUCUAAGCAGGCUUCUGUGAACAUGUGUGUACAGUCUCUUGGUGCACACAUGACCUCCUGUCUGCAGGAUGCAAGUUCCCUCUACAGAGUCAGAGAUCUUUAUUUUCAACUUCUCCGUAUAAUGCCAAAUCAUUUCCCAAAGUGAUUGUACUUGCCCUCUACCCAGCAGUGAAUGAGAGUUUCUGUUGAUUUUGCUUUUUCAACUAGAAGUGAGAGGUGACAAUGUGCUAGCAGCCCUUGCUCACUCUUGGUGCCUCCUCGUCCUCCACAUCCACUCUGGCUGUGCUUGAGGAGCCCUUCAGCCCGCCACUGCACUGUGGGGGCCCCUCUCUGGGGCUGGCCAAGGCCGAAGCCGGCUCCCUCUGCUCGCCAGGAGGUGUGGAGGGAGAGGCGCUGGCAGGAGCCCACACUGUACAGGGCACUCACCAGCCAGCAGGGGCUCCGUGGGCCGGCCGGUGCCAGCUGGGCUUGACUGGGGGAUGAGCUCCCUCUGGGCUGCUGGAGUGCCUGGGCUAGGUGCCGCAAAGUCCCGCAGUGCGUGCCAUUGAGAGGUGAAGCCGGCUGGGCUUCUGGGUCCAGUGGGGACCUGGAGAACUUUUCUGUCUAGCUAAAGGUUUGUAAAUGCACCAAUCAGCACUCUGUGUCUAGCUAAAGGUUUGUAAAUGCACCCAUCAGCACUCUGUGUCUAGCUAAAGGUUUGUAAAUGCACCAAUCAGCAAUCUGUUUGUAAAUGCACCAAUCAGCACUCUGUCAAAAUGGACCAAUCAGCUCUCUGUAAAACAGACCAAUCAGCUCUCUGUAAAAUGGACCAAUCAGCUCUCUGUAAAAUGGACCAAUCAGCAGGAUGUGGGUGUGGCCAGUUAAGGGAAUAAAAGCAGGCUGCCUGAGCCGGCAGCGGCAACCUGCUCUGGUUCCCUUCCAUGCCGUGGAAGCUUUGUUCUUUUGGUCUUCACGAUAAAUCUUGCUGCUGCUCACUCGUUGGGUCCGUGCUGCCUUUAAGAGCUGUAACACUCACCGCGAAGGUCUGCAACUUCACUCCUGGGGCCAGCAAGACCACGAAUCCACCGAGAGGAAUGAACAAUUCUGGACACACCAUCUUUAAGAACCGUAAUACUCACCGCAAGGGUCUGCAACUUCAUUCUUGAAGUCAGUGAGGCCAAAAACCCACCAAUUCUGGACGCAUUUUGGUGACCUUGAAGAGACUAUCACCUAUCACGAAGUGGUGAGAAUAUUGCCAAGCAGUGAGACUAUCACCAAGUGGUGAGACCAUCACCAAGCGGUGAGACUAUCACCUAUCGCCAAGUGGCCUGAUUCAGCAGGAAGCAUCUCAGACACCAACCACUAUGCUGUCAGCAGUGGCCCGGGGCUACUGGGGCUGGUUUCAUCCCUGUGCUAGGCUUUCUGUGAGGAUGAGCAGCACUGGGAUAGACGGAAAGGGCGUCCUGGCUAACCGGGUAGCCGUGGUCACGGGGUCCACCAGUGGGAUUGGCUUUGCCAUCGCCCGACGUCUGGCCCAGGACGGGGCCCACGUGGUCAUCAGCAGCCGGAAGCAGCAGAACGUGGACUGGGCCAUGGCCAAGCUGCAGGGGGAGGGGCUGAGCGUGGCGGGCAUUGUGUGCCACGUGGGGAAGGCUGAGGACCGGGAGCAGCUGGUGGCCAAGGCCCUGGAGCACUGUGGGGGCGUCGACUUCCUGGUGUGCAGUGCAGGGGUCAACCCUCUGGUGGGGAGCACUCUGGGGACCAGUGAGCAGAUCUGGGACAAGGGACCUCAGGGUGGUACCCACUUCUGACAUCUGGACCACUUCUUGCAGUCAUUGGGGGUCAUCCCCCACACUGGUAACCUGUCAUCAAAUGGGCCACAGCAACAUUCAGCUUAAGUAUUUCUCCUUCCCACAUCCAAGGGAUUGAGUGGGCGUGAGAUUGGGGGGUGGAAAAAACAGUGAACAGUCCUGGUGAGUUGCAGAUGUGGUCUCAUUCCCUAGAGAUGCAGGAUGCAGCUGACCUGAAUCAGGACAGAUCCCUGCAGGAGGGACUCCUGGUGCCAUGUCAGUCCCACCUGGCACUGCCCUAGCUCCCAGGCUCUGCCUCUGCAUCUUUCCUUGCUACUUCCUCUUUCACUUCUCCCCUGUUCCCAGACCCACCAGACAGAGCUUCCAGAGUGUCAGGACAUGUGUGACUUAGCCCAGAUUCAGACUUUAGUCACAAGCAGGAUCAGCAUAGACAUCUAGCUCCCAGCAUGGCAAUUCUCUGUUGUGUCUCCCUGUUUGUAUUGGCUGCAGGAAAGCUCAGAGCCAAGUCUGCGAUAAGCUGGUGUGUGUAGGCCCUUACAGCCUGCAUUUUUAUGACCAAAUAAUAGAAUAAAUGCUCAGUCCUUAUCACAUGCUGUGAACUGUAGGCACCAACCUCCCUCUAGCUUUUUCUUAUUUUUCUACACUGAUUUUUCCUUUUCUCCAUUUUUUCACACAUAGUACCUAUUUGAUUUAUUUUAUGCUGUUGCAUUGUGAGUAUGCCUUAAAUUCUAUGGGGACAAGGUAAGAGGACAAGCAAAUGAAAGCUCAGAGAGACAAAAAAGGCUCUUCCAGAAAUCUCCCUUGCUUCUAGCACCUGCUUCCCCUCCAUCAGGCUGUCUUCAGUCUUUCUCCAGAGGCCUCUGCUUACAGUGUGUUGUUGUUUUCUUUUUAAGAGACAGGGUCUCACUCUGUCACCCAGGCUGGAGUGCAGUGGCAUGAUCAUGGCACACUGCAGCUUCAAACUCCUGGGCUUAAGGGAUCCUCCUGCCUCAGCCUCCUGAGUAGCUAGAAUUAUAGGUGUGCACCACCACACCAGGCCAAUUAUUUAAAAAUCUUGUAGAGACAAGGUCUCACUAUGUUGCUCAGGCUGGUCUUGAACUUUUGGCCUUGAGUAAUCCUCCCACCUUGGCCUCCUAAAGUGCUGAGAUUACAGGCAUGACCCACUGCCCCCAAUCCCCAUUUUCUUUAAACGUCCUGAACAUUUCCUUCCUCGUGUCAGUCCUGAACAAUUCACAUUUUCAGGGCUCUGCUCACAGGCCUGUGACUUAGCCUGCCUGCCUAUGAAACCAUUAGCAAAUUGGAAAUACCUCUUGCACCGGUCAGAAGGGGGAUUGGUUUCUCUUAUAUGCACAUAAAUUGGGUCUACUGCACAAAUUACAGGGCUCCAAGUGUCUUAUGAGAGCGGGACUUGGGCUGACCAUGUCUCUCUGCCCUCACCCAUGCUCUGCUCUGAUUUCAGAUCCUAAGUGUGAACGUGAAGUCCCCAGCCCUGCUGCUGAGCCAGUUGCUGCCCUACAUGGAGAACAGGAGGGGUGCUGUCAUCCUGGUCUCUUCCAUUGCAGCUUAUAAUCCAGUAGUGGCGCUGGGUGUCUACAAUGUCAGCAAGACAGCGCUGCUGGGUCUCACUAGAACACUGGCAUUGGAGCUGGCCCCCAAGGACAUCCGG